AUUGGACAAUGGGCGCAAGCCUGAUCCAGCCAUACCGCGUGGGUGAAGAAGGCCUUCGGGUUGUAAAGCCCUUUUGUUGGGAAAGAAAUCCUAUCGGUUAAUAACCGGUGGGGAUGACGGUACCCAAAGAAUAAGCACCGGCUAACUUCGUGCCAGCAGCCGCGGUAAUACGAAGGGUGCAAGCGUUACUCGGAAUUACUGGGCGUAAAGCGUGCGUAGGUGGUGGUUUAAGUCUGCUGUGAAAGCCCUGGGCUCAACCUGGGAAUUGCAGUGGAUACUGGAUCACUAGAGUGUGGUAGAGGGAUGCGGAAUUUCUGGUGUAGCAGUGAAAUGCGUAGAGAUCACAAGGAACAUCCGUGGCGAAGGCGGUAUCCUGGGCCAACACUGACACUGAGGCACGAAAGCGUGGGGAGCAAACAGGAUUAGAUACCCUGGUAGUCCACGCCCUAAACGAUGCGAACUGGAUGUUGGGUGCAACUUGGCACCCAUUAUCGAAGCUAACGCGUUAAGUUCGCCGCCUGGGGAGUACGGUCGCAAGACUGAAACUCAAAGGAAUUGACGGGGGCCCGCACAAGCGGGGGAGUAUGUGGUUUAAUUCGAUGCAACGCGAAGAACCUUACCUGGUCUUGACAUCCACGGAACUUUCCAGAGAUGGAUUGGUGCUUCGGAACCGUGAGACAGGUGCU
rnacentral:rRNA from 1 species